rnacentral:misc_RNA from 1 species
GAUGAAGAACGUAGCGAAAUGCGAUAAGUAAUGUGAAUUGCAGAAUCCAGUGAAUCAUCGAAUCUUUGAACGCACAUUGCGCCCGCCAGCAUUCUGGCGGGCAUGCCUGUUCGAGCGUCAUUUCAACCCUCGACCUCCCCUUGGGGAGGUCGGCGUUGGGGACCGGCAGCACACCGCCGGCCCUGAAAUGGAGUGGCGGCCCGUCCGCGGCGACCUCUGCGUAGUAAUACAGCUCGCACCGGAACCCCGACGCGGCCACGCCGUAAAACACCCAACUUCUGAACGUUGACCUCGAAUCAGGUAGGACUACCCGCUGAACUUACGCAUAUCAAUAAGCGGAGGA